rnacentral:rRNA from 1 species
CUGCCAUCAGCCCAGCUUGUGAAACAUCACUUGUGAUGAAUUGUGGUAUGCAGGCCUUUUUAAGUAGCUGGCUGACUAAGUCCCCUGGAAUGGGGUAGCUGAGAGGGUGAGACUCCCGUUUGUCAGCUAGCGUAAGAAGUUGCCAAUGAGUCGAGUUGUUUGGGAUUGCAGCUCUAAGUGGGUGGUAACUUCCAUCCAAGGUUAAAUAUUGGUGAGAGACCGAUAGCGUACAAGUACCGUGAGGGAAAGAUGCAAAGCCGCGCGAAAGCGCUGUCAAAGAGUACCUAAAAUUGCUGAAAAGGAAGCGAAGGAAACUAGUGUAAGCUGCUCCGCAUUUCCUCGUCCGCUUGCGGUCGGGGC